rnacentral:tRNA from 1 species
GCCUUCGUGGUGUAACGGUAGUACACUCGACACAUAUUUGAGAGGUCCAGGGUUCGAGUCCCUUCGAGGGCA